GGUCAGGUCCUACUCCUUCGGCUACUGUUUUCUCAUGUGCCUAUCGGUCCAGCUCAGAUCUGAGUAGAUCUGCCCUUUCACAACUUCCUCCACCUCGAUCUGCUUCACUUCGUGUGGAGAUGCAUAGACUAUUUUUUCCAAAUUGGGGCCGCCUCACCGAUCGCUUCGCCGGCAACGCACCUUCUUCUGGUGUCGCGCCGGAUUUGGUAUCCAGAUCAACUCUCUCCUACCAACCGCCACUCACUGCUGCAAUUUGAGCUGGUUCUUACUCUCUCUCUCUC
rnacentral:lncRNA from 1 species